CCCUUAGAUGUUCUGGGCUGCACGCGCGCUACACUGAAGCUAUCAACACGUUUUCCCUCCCUGAGAAGGGCGGGUAACCUUUUGAAUCAGCUUCGUGGUAGGGAUCGGGGCUUGCAAUUGUUCCCCGUGAACCAGGAAUUCCUAGUAGACGCGACUCAUAAGCUCGCAUCGAUUAAGUCCCUGCCCUUUGUACACACCGCCCGUCGCUACUACCGAUUGAACGUUUUAGUGAGGCAUUUGGACCGACGCAUCUCAGUUUAACCGCUGGUUUGUGUUGGAAAGACUUCCAAACUUGAGCGUUUAGAGGAAGUAAAAGUCGUAACA
rnacentral:rRNA from 1 species